GAUGAACGCCAGCGGCAGGCUUAACACAUGCAAGUCGAGGGGUAUAGUUCUUCGGAACUAGAGACCGGCGCACGGGUGCGUAACGCGUAUGCAAUCUACCUUUUGCAGAGGGAUAGCCCAGAGAAAUUUGGAUUAAUACCUCAUGGUAUGUGAGAAUGGCAUCAUUUUCACAUUAAAGUCACAACGGCAAAAGAUGAGCAUGCGUCCCAUUAGCUUGUUGGUAAGGUAACGGCUUACCAAGGCAACGAUGGGUAGGGGUCCUGAGAGGGAGAUGCCCCACACUGGUACUGAGACACGGACCAGAAUCCUACGGGAGGCAGCAGUGAGGAAUAUUGGACAAUGGGCGCAAGCCUGAUCCAGCCAUGCCGCGUGCAGGAUGACGGUCCUAUGGAUUGUAAACUGCUUUUGUACAGGAAGAAACACUGGUUCGUGAACCAGCUUGACGGUACUGUAAGAAUAAGGAUCGGCUAACUCCGUGCCAGCCGCCGCGGUAAGAC
rnacentral:rRNA from 1 species